GGACGGGUUAGUAACGCGUGGGAAUAUGCCCAGAUCUAAGGAAUAGCCACUGGAAACGGUGAGUAAUACCUUAUACGCCCUUCGGGGGAAAGAUUUAUCGGAUUUGGAUUAGCCCGCGUUAGAUUAGGUAGUUGGUGGGGUAAUGGCCUACCAAGCCUACGAUCUAUAGCUGGUUUUAGAGGAUGAUCAGCAACACUGGGACUGAGACACGGACCAGACUCCUACAGGAGGCAGCAUUGGGGAAUCUUGGACAAUGGGGGCAACCCUGAUCCAGCCAUGCCGCGUGAGUGAUGAAGGCCCUAGGGUCGUAAAGCUCUUUCGCCUGUGAAGAUAAUGACGGUAGCAGGUAAAGAAACCCCGGCUAA
rnacentral:rRNA from 1 species